rnacentral:lncRNA from 1 species
AAACUGGAGGAGAUACCCGAAGUUGAUAAUAAUGAGGUAUCCACACCUAGUGACCAUUACACUCAGCUAAACCUAAAAUUAAUUGUUGAACCCCUUAUGAUACUGGUUGAAUCUCUGCUUAAAAAGAAAGAGGCGAUAAUAGGAGAUCCAGAAACACUUUCUCAGCACAUUGAGUAUAUAGAUCUAGAUCUCUUAAAAUCCUGACUAGUACUUAAGUUAUACCUAGAUCUAAUU